rnacentral:lncRNA from 1 species
GUUGCUUUCUUCGGCGAGAGGAAAAGAAAUGAACAAGGGAAAAGAAGAGGAGAGAGAAAGAGGAGAGGGAAAAAGUAAUAAGAAUAUUUUGGUCAGUUUGCUGAAAAAGCGGACUGAAUCUGCCAAAACGAAAAAGGUGGCCCGGUUUUACAAAAACUCAAAACUAGUGGAUUUUUUAUCCAAAUUGGCCAAGAUAUUUAGACUUUGUAGCUU